rnacentral:rRNA from 1 species
AUUGAACGCUGGCGGAAUGCUUUACACAUGCAAGUCGAGCGGCAGCGCGGGGCAACCUGGCGGCGAGCGGCGAACGGGUGAGUAAUACAUCGGAACGUACCCAGUUGUGGGGGAUGACACAUCGAAAGAUGUGCUAAUAACGCAUACGACCUGAGGGUGAAAGCGGGGGAUCGCAAGACCUCGCGCGAUUGGAGCGGCCGAUGGCGGAUUAGCUAGUUGGUGGGGUAAGGGCCUACCAAGGCGACGAUCCGUAGCUGGUCUGAGAGGACGACCAGACACACUGGAACUGAGAACCGGUCCAGACUACUAAGGGAGGCAGCAGUGGGGAAUUUUGGACAAUGGGGGCAAGACUGAUCCAGCCAUUCCGCGGGAGUGGAGAAGGCCUUCGGGUUGUAAAGCUCUUUCGGCAGGAACGAAACGGUGGGGGCUAAUAUCCUCUGCUAAUGACGGUACCUGAAGAAGAAGCACCGGCUAACUACGUGCCAGCAGCCGCAGUAAUAC